rnacentral:rRNA from 1 species
GAUGAACGCUGGCGGCGUGCUUAACACAUGCAAGUCGAACGGAAAGGCUCCUGCUUGCAGGGGUACUCGAGUGGCGAACGGGUGAGUAACACGUGGGUGAUCUGCCCUGCACUUCGGGAUAAGCCUGGGAAACUGGGUCUAAUACCGGAUAGGACGAUGGUUUGGAUGCCAUUGUGGAAAGUUUUUUCGGUGUGGGAUGAGCUCGCGGCCUAUCAGCUUGUUGGUGGGGUAAUGGCCUACCAAGGCGUCGACGGGUAGCCGGCCUGAGAGGGUGUACGGCCACAUUGGGACUGAGAUACGGCCCAGACUCCUAUGGGAGGCAGCAGUGGGGAAUAUUGCACAAUGGGCGCAAGCCUGAUGCAGCGACGCCGCGUGGGGGAUGACGGCCUUCGGGUUGUAAACUCCUUUCGCUAGGGACGAAGCGCAAGUGACGGUACCUGGAGAAGAAGCACCGGCUAACUACGUG